rnacentral:lncRNA from 7 species
CUGUGCAGUUUUCCACUGCUGUUAUGAACACCUCACUUCUUGCGAGUGCAUCUACCCAGUGGAAAGAUGGGCAGGAAUUCCUCUUUUCCAGUAGUCUGAAAUGAUUAGAAGAUCCAUGGGAAUGGAAGCUUUCAGAAGGAGGAAGGGUCAGGUCUGUCUUGGAGAACUCAUCCCCAUAGAAGCAAGAGGGAGGCUGUUCCAGUAACUCCUGUGGGAGGUCUAUCUGGGAAGCCAUCAUUGCCAGCACCGCACUACUCCUGUUCCCAGACAGGAUUUCAGCCCAUUACAAGGACUAGCUCAGCUCCUGGCUCUGGUGCUUUGGUCUGCUAGAAAACUCAGACAUCAAUAAGGCAGUUAAGUUUGUAUAUUGAAUCAUGCAAAGUAUGGAUUAUGCAAAACAGCCCACCUCUAAUUUCGAGUGAAAGGAGAGACAGGUCAACACUUUACAGGACUUUACAGGACAGAACUCUAAGCACUGCAAGAGAUCCUGACACCAGUGAAUGAGUCCAUGCAGCAGAUCAUAAACACAUCACCAAGUCAUGAUAUUGGAACAUCACUUCCUGCCGAUACCUAAAUAUUAAUCUUUAUACAGUUUUGAACAGGACUGAAUAUACAGUUGCCCACUUUUGAGCCACUGCUAAAUGUAAUUCAGCAUGUUGUAUGUUGUAUGGGUUGGAGAACAGCAGAGUUGCUCGGGGGAGUGAGGGGAAUCAGGUGUGCUGCUGACAUGCUGUCUGCUCCAAAGAUGCUUGAACCCUGCUGUCCUGAGCAUGGGAGCGCUCAUGGAAUUGGAGGAAGGUUCCUUGUUCUCAUCUCCAGCGAACAGCAGGACUGAAAACCCUCUCUGUAGGCUCCUCCCAAAGCUAUGCACCACUACUCCUGCAGGCUUAUACCUCUCUUCCCAGUCUGCUCCUGAGUUCUGUCUCUGCUUCUCCAUCUGCUAGCUUUUUUCUACAUAAAUCCCUGCCCCAAACAAGAUCAACAAUGCUCCCCACCCAGAUCUUUUAAAUUCCUGAGCAACCUUGUAUUCACCUUGUGUAGGGCAGAAACAUGUGCUGAACUGCUUCUUACAGCUCAGAAGAGAUGUGCGGUGGUUAAUCCUACCAUUUUCAACUAGGCUGAACUCAGCUUAUAACAAAACCAUCGGUAAAAAUGUAACCACU